ensembl:lncRNA
UUGUCUGCUUGCUUCUAGUAGCGGGUGUAUUUUAAUGAUUGAUAAUCACUCUCCAGGGGUAUUAAGUGGAACUCACACAGAGCGAUUUUCCUCUGGAGCACGGCCUACUCGCACAAACCAUCUCAGACCAAAUGUAUACAGGACACGUAUUUAGCAUUCAAAUAUUCAUUCACAUUAUUUAAACCUGAUAACUACAUUUUGAAUGGGAUUGGAUGCAUAUUCCUGUAGCUCCUACGUGUCACAGAAAAGUAAAAGUACACAUUAAAGGCACUCUACCUCUUUGAAACACCCCUUAAACAUGAUUAUUGUAAUAAAUAUGGCGAUGACAAAAGCUUCCUGUCCGUUUGGAUAUCAGCUUCUGACCUUGUGACUCGACAACCUGCUCGUCUGCCUCUUCUCAUCCCGACUCACCGUAUCCUCCCUUUCUGUUUCCCUCUUUGUGAAUGUGGCUUCGGGGGCAACAUGGUUAGUAUAUUGCUUUGCAGAUGCACCCUGGCUUUGCCUCAUGGCUUCUAAUUGAAGCUUGUCCGGCAUCAAAUGAUGAUGUGGAAAUGUGGUUUAUUCUCAGAUGAAGAGGAAGAAAAAAAACAGUCGAGUCUUGCUUCCUCCUGGGCUGCAGCUCGUUUAUAAGCAAAGGGAGGAAUUAAACUGAGCCUAAAUACGUCCUCAGAUAUUUUGUUAGCUUGGGGUGUGCUUGAUUUAUCGGGCAGGCCAGAUUUUCCAAGGUAAUUGCAAACAGGGUUGCAUUUUAUUAAUGAUCCAUUAACAUGAAUCGUACUUCCCAGCUCAUCAGUUACCCAGUUGGACCUGUUGUUGGAACUUAUCUCCUCUCACAUGUUAACGGUACCUGCAGCUGGAACCGUUGGCAUGCGACUGCAUGUCAAAUGUCUCCGGGGGUAAAUGGAUGUCUUCGAGUCUCCCGUCCUGCCACUUAAUGAGGUGCCUUUCAGCCGGAUUAAUGAGCGUCUAAACUAUAUUUUCCUCAUACAACCAUCAAUGUGCCAAUCAUCAGUAAACAACUAACACAUUUAGUCUCAGCAGAAGCUGGAGGUGAGCAAAGCAGCUCUGCUGGUUCUGAAAUGGACUCUGAGGUCGGUCGAAGUUAACGUUUGCAAAGUUGGAAGGUCAAAACUGUGGCGAUUCAAAGAUGUGCGUAGGACAACAUCUCACUUGGAGUUCUGUUCCAGAUUCUCCUGACCGACUCGGUUCCCUCUCGUACCUCGCCGGACAGAAGACCGAUGACGUCCCCAUCCGACUGCAUCCAUCAGGGAGCAGCAAACAACUCUUAUCCGACAUCGUACCUCAUGGAGGUUUGAAAGCCUUUGACUUCUGGGUCCGUGUUCUGUGGAUUAAUGUGAUUAUAGAUACUAAAGCUGCAGGAUAACGAGACCAUUUAAACAUAUUUUCUAAUCAGCUCCUUAGUGUACAGAUAGGAUGGAGUCGUGCUGAUGUACCAGAUGGCUAAUGGAGGUAUAUUAGAGCUCUGACAUAUUGACAUUAAUAUUGGCACGAAAACCUACCACUUAAAAGUGAUCAGAAUAAUCAGAUCAUACUCAUUUUCAAUUUAUUUUUGUUGAAGCUGAUCUUAAAUGAUUCAAUCUAAUUCUAUCCAAUUCAGAAAAGUCCCAUAAUGUGAUAAUAUCUCUGUAAUGCCCUCGUUACUGACUAACCUACAGAACAAACACCAUCUUCCUGACUUCCCGUGGGCGGUACCAGGGUGUCCUCACCGUCAUGGCGAUCCCGUCUUCACUGCGAUAAACACACACACACACACACAUACAUGGAUCCUGGACUACCUGCUCAAGCAAAAUCGUCAAAUUGUGCUUUGAGAGGUACAGGCCUCUCAUUUACUAUAACUAUUAUUAUUUGACCUGCAUUUGAGUAGACAUUUAUACAGUUUGUGACAGUACAGUAAGGAAAAUAUUGAAUCUUGUUGACUAAUGUCAGUGAAAGUCUGGAAGUGUUGGUGGUUCGGUUCAAUUCGUUUUAUUUUGUAUAGCACAAAAUCGAAAAUUACGAAUUUGCCUCAGAGGGCUUUACAGAAGAAACCCUCACAUCGACACAGGAAGAACUCCCCAGAAAAUGAAAAUGGGGAUAAAAAGGGACUAACUGGUCCGGACUAACCUGGGCCAGGCCUAACUAUAAGCAAAAUCAAAGAGGAAAGUUUAAAGCUUUAUCGUAACAGAGCUGACCGAAUCUGCCUCCCGGACUGAAAGUGGAAGCUGGUUCCACAAAAGAGGAGCUUGAUAACCGAAGACUUGUCAGAAGACCAGUAGCUAAUAGGAGUGUAACGGCGUUUAAAAGGUAUUUGAACCCCAUUCCUAUCAGCCUCAGCUGUACUUUGUGUUUGGUUCUAAAGUAAAAUGGUGAACGUAACACGUCUGUGGUGAACAUGUUAAUGAUUAUACCUGGUAUGCAUCUGCAUAGAACCACCAGUACCACAUCCAUCUGGACCUCUCUCCAUUCCAUACCCAGCUUCCAUCACGACAUGGUCCAUGUAAGGCCAACGCAAAAGCCCCACAUAACUUUACUCCAUCAGUUGGAUACAAUGAGUCCCCCCCCCCCCCUCCUGUACGUUAUCCACGUGAGCCCCGGUGUUCUGGGUUCUCUUAUUUCCACUCUGGUUGGUUCUUGUUGAGUGCCGCUAGUGGUCACGUUCGCCAUUGUCCCGUCGUUAAGACGAAGCCGAUUGGAUGAAUUGUGUGUCACAAUUGUAUCUUUAAUCAGCGAUUGGCCAAACCGUUUCAUGGACCCGCCCCCUGUGGUGCAUUUCUCUCUGGCUCAGAGCUGCUGAUGGACGCGCAGAUAUAAUAUUCUACUAAUAUUACUGAAUGGAUUCCAUAUUUGCAUUUGUAUUUAGAAUGAAUAAUUCAUAAUAAUAUUUAUUUUUGUGGCUCAAGGGCAGGCGUGUUACUGGGGGGGGGGGGGGCACAGGGUUUGACUGUAUUUUCAUUGGUCAUGCACCCAUCAGCCCCGUACAUCCUUUUUGAAUUAAAACCGUUGAAUGUGUAUCUCCUGGGGACCAAAUACUUAUUUUGAACAUCUGCAGCUGUGUAGAAUAUGUGAUGCGAGUGCAAAUAUAACUUCAUUAGUUUCUGUGAUAAGGAGACGGAGGUGUUAAUGGAAGACAGAUGACGGUCUCACAUCCUUUGAGACUUUCCUGUUUACUGCCUUCUAUUAUAUUACACCGAAUCAAUUAUCCAAAAGGCAGCCCGCUGUAAUAGGAAGCUGGGUGGGCCUUUUUAAACCGACUGGGCCGGCUGCUGAUAUCCAGACACCCACGCCGGGCAUUGAAAUCCUGUAAUUGAGACAUGCAACAUUGUGAUUGCAAACUGAUUGAAUAUAAUUAGCCAUGGCUUUUACUUUGUUUGCUUGCUUUCCUUAAUUAAAAGAAUUUUCUUUGCACUUCGUCAGAGUAGAUUGUGUGGGGAUGUUUUUUUUUGGGGGGGGUCAUUAGCCCGGUUAAGCUCACUGAGAUAAUUAAUCCUACAACUGUAUGAAAGUGUGCUUUGAUUGCAAAGUGGCCGGUCCGUUACGCCGCCUCGGUGACAACGCUGUGAAUGACUCCGCGUCAUCCAGCUUCCAUCCACCACUAACUAGAACAAGGCACAGGUGAGCUAGAUGCACUUCUGCCGUUGUUCUUCGCUCGCUGACGUCCUCCAUAAGCCGCAGUGACACCAGCUCCCCCCCCGGGGUUCAUGCUCCUCGCUGCAGAGCGCCUUCAGCCAGAAGCACAGCGCUGCUCCCCUCGUGACGCGUCUGCACAGGCUGCUGUGGAUUCGAAGUCCCUUCCCCUCUGCGGGUGUGAGGCCUCGUCCCUUGCCGAGCGGAGCCCGCUCCAUCCCCGACGAAGGCUCCGCUUUUAUCACCUGAUGGCGCCAGAGCCAAAUGAGGGGGUUCGGCCGUGUUCAGCCAUUUAUCAUCAUGCCAUCAGCGAGCAGCCACGGGGGCAGAAAGGACCUUGGCUGGCUUCGUCCUCCUUCCCCCCCCCGCGCAAUUUCUUCUUAAAGUCGAGCGGGUCUGGAGUCGCUGUGGUCUGCUGCGUUCACUGAAAACAAACAUGCACGCGGCGGCUUUGUUUGGCGCGGCAGAAACCAGCUCCGCCGCGUUCAAACACUCGCUUCAGGGUGGAAUAGAUGAUGAUGAUGAUGAUGAAUGUGGCAAAUCUGGUCAGAGGAGCGUUAAAUGGGCUGCUUAUUUAUUCUCCGCUGCAGACGUCCGUUCCAUUUGCCAGCUGCAGCGCGCAAGGCGCUCAGCUGAGAAGCGUCUGUGACUUCUAAUGAACUGAGACCUCUUGUAUACAGUUAUUACCGAGUGUCAUUCUACAAGCGACAGAAGACCCCUUGAGUGGAGCUAGUUGAAUAAAUGCAUAAACCCGCAGGGACCCAGCAGCUCGGCGCUGAAUGUGUGCACCAAAGCACCGAGAGGCUGAUAUGUUCAGCUUGAACAAAGCGAGCGUGGGAAGGAAACUCAAAAUGAUUUGCUUCAAAUUUGACUAAAAAUAGGGGUUGUGUACCGACCUCUGUGUUUGUGUUAACAAGCGGUUUGGCGUCGCUCUGCACGGCCGCCCGACCCCCCCCCACCACCCCCUCCCGGGGUAGCGGCUACUCUCUAACCAUGUGUUUGCUGCUGUCCUGCUGGCCCACGACUCCAUGGUCCAGGAGCUAGUUUCAUUCCACGUGGCAGGCCAGCGAUUAGCCGCGUCCGUCAGGAUUCCUGAUGCUGUAAUGUAAAACAUUACAGCCAUGCUAGCUGAACGGGGGAUUUGAUGCAAUAUACGAGAUUCAUGACACUCACAAGAGGUUUGCACACGCAGUCUGGAGCGAAGGUUCUUCUUAUACAAUAACCGCCAGCAGGUGAAGAUGUAUGAGAUGUUCCCUGUAGUCUCUGUCAUUACCGCUGCUGCUCUUAAAAUAGGAUUUGAAUUGUUUACUAUGGUGAGCGCCAUUAGCAGCAGCUUUACUUGAGUUGGCCUUGUUGCUUUUGUCCUGUCUGCAGAGUAGGAGAUGAAUUAUUAUUUAAGUAAUUGGUGUUUGUGUAAGAAAAUCUGAGGCAAAGUUCACGAGAAACACGUGUUCAUGUGCAUUUGUGAAUUCCGUUUUCCAACUGGGAAAUGCUUCUGAAACUUUUGAAUUUUCAUUCCUAAUCAUGUUUUGUUGCCGUUUUCUUUAUCUUCAUCCACCAAGCCUUCAUACUUGCCCUUUCACAAUCAUAAUAACAAAAAGCAGAGUUGUUCUCGCUCCUUUUCUAGUGCUGAACUUUCCUCUACCGGUCUCUGUGGGAGAAGAGUGAUGCAAGAGCCUGAUAUCAACAUCUGGGCCUCUGUGAAGACUCUGCUGCCAGAUAAGAUGCUCUCCGGUGUCCAGAGGAGGGCUGAACUCCGGGGGGGGGGCAAGAUACGCUGCACAGACCGAUAAAGAGCGUGGAUCAAUGGCCGUGUCUCAAUUGGCCGGCUGCAUCCUCAGGAGGACGUGGGCCGGCUCGUCCUCUGACGGCAUACGAUGUGUCCUGCCGGCGUCAUCGGCAAUGCAGAAAAUGCAGAUAGAGAAGGUCGUUUUCUUCUUAUUCCAUUUCCCUCAGUAAGAUGUGCUUCACCUCCAGAGCAAGAUGUAUUCCGAGGUCAUUUCAUAUUUGGAUCGGUUAAGCAAUUAACUUUUAGCUAAUAGUAAUAUUGCAGUCUUGAGGGAGAGGAAAUCAAUCCGUCAAUAAAAACACAGCAGCAAACACAUUCAUUAACUUGUAUGCAGAGACUUUUUUUCUUUUCUUGCACAGGAUAGAAGCUGAAUGUCACCACAUCUUCUCCUGCUCCAUAAACACAACUAAAUGUAAAGGUAGUUUACAAUCACACAACAAAAGGAGCGAAGCAACCAGGUUCAGUUUCUUUGUGUAUUUAUUGCCAACAUUUGUAUAAAUACCGACAUAGAAGGUUAUAUUUCAGCUUCGUGUCUUGUCUACUUGAGCUCACUUUGAUCCAUUUCUGUUGUAUCUCAUGUAUAAUUAAUUGAUGAUCAUGAGUAUGAGGAGGGAAUUGGGACCCAGGGGGCUUCAGGUCAGGGGCUGUAUGACAAAAUACCCAUCAAAUAAAUGUAUUACAAUAAAAUACAAAAUACUGUUGCCAGAAAAUGUAAAAAAUAAAAAUACAAUACAGAAUUUUUCUAUUUAAAAUAUUAGGAAAUUCUUUUUUUCUGAUUUUCCGAUUCAGGUUUGGGGGGCAAUGGAAUGUACACAAAGCUGAACAACUCGUGAACUGUUUUUUUUAUUCUAGCAUUUUAAAUACUGUGUUAAGGAAAUGAGACUCAUAUUGCUUUGCAGCAAACAACACCACCACUUGGUAACGCAGGUUGAACGUUUUGUUGCCACUAUAAAUGAAUGAAGCACCUCAGGCUCUUUGUGUGCUGGCAGCCGGAUGUGCUCGUACCUGUUGGUUCACGCGUUGACGGUUCAGCGAUAAAGGGUUUCACUCUUAAGGGGGAAACAAUCCAAUAGAAUGCUGCUGUUAUUCACACUAACUGCUGGUGAAAUAACGCCCUGUGUUUCACCGUCUGGGCCUUGCUGGUUCUCGUCUCCUGCAGGAGGCGUGCUGCGACACAGGCCUACUUGCCACAUUUUGCAGCGUCUCAUCAAUAAGGUCACAGAGCGGCACCGCAGACGCCGACUGAGGUCUCCGUCCUGGAGAGACGAGCUAAUCGCGGCCUCUGUGGGGAACAGCGGGGGAGGGGGGAGCGGUCCAUCUUCUAACACUAACAGGCACAUUUACACUCCUGCACGGCCAUGCACGCAGACAGCAGGUACACACCCCUCCACAGGAGCACGGAUAAACACGCCACCAUGUACAGCAGGAACAUAUGUGUCAUCCGCCUCCCCAGCGAUGUCACUCCCGUGUGGCUGCAUCUGGAGACACCAAUGGAGACAGUCUUAGUCAGUGGACGAGAGGGAGCUUCCACUGAAGGGUUGUGCUUAGCAAUAUACUUAUUAUAUAUACACUUUAUUUUUCGGUGAGCUCAGGUUCGUCGCUUGCUUUGCCCCCGAGUGUCUGCUCGAGUCUCUCACCUGCGACAAAAAACGUUACUCCACCUGUGGUUCUGGAGGUGAAUUGCUCUGCAACACCUGCAAGCCUUUUAGAACCAUGAAUUGAAACGAGUGGGUCGUGCGUAAAGACGCAGGCGCAGAAACACGCGGCAGCCUUGGGAGUUAUUAUGGCACGUUUCAUAGGUGGAGCUCAGCGAGAUGGAACCUUUGCCAGAAAGGUGAAAGGGCACAUUGUUGAGCCUCAAGUAAACAUUUGGAUUGGUUAUUUGCAACACACAACGUGGCGUUCUCAGGAUUUCUUGCAAAGGAUUGUUAUAAAUGUAAUUCAUGUCUGGCAGCGUAUCCGGAUGUUGGGCCUGCAGACGGUCCACUUGUGGAAGCGUUGAGACGCCGUUGCAUCAAGUGUUCAAACCUAUAAUUCAGCCUUUUGCUGGGUCGUGCCACACUAAUGGAGACGUCUGUGCUUACCCAGCUUAAGGGAUGCACAUACUUCCUUGUGAAUGAAUACAGAUCUACCCGCUCUACAGGACCAGCACUGCAUCCUCAUUUAUUUUUUUUCCGUCUCAAUCUCCAUUGGUUACCAUCAAAUGUCUUUGGCUGCUCCGACUGUAUCAUUCCUUUUGGUUCCGUGUGAUUUUCACUCCACUCUUCUCAGUGAUGGCUGAACCAUUGAGCCGUGCAGGAUGUUCCUUCGGUGUCUUUGUAUUCUUUUACUACAACCACAUCCCACACACAGCCAUCACGCCGCUGGACCAAAACCAUGUUUAUCCUUCAAGGAAAAUCCAUCGCACAAUUGUCUCAGUUGAGCGGUCGACAAAGCUCGUGUCCCAUGAAAACAUUCAUGUGAGGUCGAUUCCGGUUGAUGUUCAGGAUACACCGUAUUAGUGCGUGUAAAGUAAAUAAGAGGGCUGUAAUGGUACAAAGGCACAAAACAGACAUCCACUUUGUGAUCCAAUCAGCAGUAAAAACACUCCCAACCAUGAAGAGGCUGUUAAAACCAAACUCACAGAAAACAUAGUCUCUAAAAAGAAACCGCAGAAAGGACCGAUCAAUAAUAACGGAGGAGAAGCCACACAAACACACACACUUGAGAGAUUUAUUGGCUUCCUCUCUUCAAGUCACAUCACCGUCGUCAAUAAUCAAAAUGUAAUAUUGCACUGAGAGAGUUUUAUUAAGAGCAGAGGCCAAGGACACUCACACAAUGUUUAGGGAAUGAAACGGAGUCUGCCAUUGACUUAUUUAUGUCUGCCUCGGAUAUGCGGAGUGACUCAAUCUUUGAGCUUAUGAUUCAUGGAACAGAGUAUCGAUGAACUUAACUUGCAACAGCCCAUCUCAUAUUUCCUCAGUGACUCAGGAGGAAAUAACACAAAUUCAUUAGUCUUACCGUGUCUGGCUGGAGAGCCACUCUUAGUCAUUGCAAAUGUUACCUGCUUUCUGUAAUCAAUACUUAAUUACAGCAGCUUCAUCUGGUUUCUGCUGGAUUAUUGGUUGAGGAAAGGGGCUUGUUUGGGAGGCGAGAGCAGCCCAGCGGGCUUAUAGAGACAGGAACCUUUUGCAGUGAUCAGUAACCAUGCAUCAUUACUGUGCGGUCAAUGGUAACAAAGUGUUCUGGAUCACGCUUAACGACAUUAGGGGAGGGAAGGAGGGCGGCAGAUGCUUAGUUUGUUUGCCAGGCUACUUCUGUUUGGCUUCCUUGGUGCUUCAAUGUGCCGGGUGUAAGAAGACGAUUCGUAAUCCUGUCAAAACAUACGCUUCUGUUUACAGCUUGAAAGUUGCUUUUAGAAACUUCUAUUUGAUGGCACCUAAUUUGCUCGUUAAAUUAUUGUAAAAUAAACUGGGUCCACACGGAGGUAUCCGAGUCAUGUGUUACCGGGAUUCAUGUGCAAUUUGAUGUCAUUUCAUGAGGCCUUUCUAAAAUGUACUGCUUGGAUCAAAUACAUUGAGCUACUUGCCCUCACAUUCGAUCUUUAUCGGCUUUUCAAACGGACAUCAUUUAAUUAUUGGACGGAAUGCCAAGACACGUUUUUCAUACAUGCAGGGUUCUCAGACGAGGAGGUCUUCAGAUCUCCAGACCUUCUGUUGGCCCCGGACUUGGCCUCAAGUGCCAACAUCGGAUUGACACUUUUGGUGGUGAGUGUGAAAUAUCUGAAAUGAGUACCGAGUGCUCAUGUUGCCGGGGGGACGGAUCCCUCUGAUCUUAGGCGAUCACCUGCCUCUUCAUCUCGUUCCACCAUGAGGGUGACGUAAUUUGGGUUUUGGGUCCACAGAUACUGAAUUGAUUUCCAUGAAUUACAGAUGUGCGUAACCGCAGUAUGAGAGAUAACCAAUGGGGUAAACCGUGGAAAAUGUCAUGGCUGUGUUUUGUGUGCGUGUGUGUGUGUGUUAGAGGCUCCUAACUGAGCCCCCCCCCCGACUCACUGAUUGCAUUUCACCUCACCCUCAUCAAGCUGCAGUACAUCUGCCCCGCUUCUUCAUCCGCUCCUCGCCGGCUCGUAGAUUCAACCGACCUGGUAGUGACCGUGCUGCUCUGUUGAGAAUUAUUUUAGAGUAACUGUUUUUGUCUUCCCUCCGACCCCGCUACUGCGUGGUGGUCUGCCUUUGGGUCCGCCGCCACAUAUAACAGAAAAGUUCUGAUAACACUGCAUACUUUAAAUAGCCAGUAGAUGUUUUUUGCUAUAAUAUUGCUCUGAAUCAUAUCAUAUGUUUGCACUUUUAAUAAAGGAUUAAUUGUUGAUCCCAAAACACCAAACAUUUUAUGGUUCCAGCGUCGCAAUCUGAUGAAUUGUGUCUUGUCCUGCUCUUAUUUCAUGGUAAACUGAUAUUUGGUGCGUUCAAAGCGUAUUUGAAGAGAUUACUUUGUGCAAGGAAAUUAUGAUUUCCCUGCUUUUAUUCAUCCAGCUCUAUAAAAUAUUAAAAUUCAGCCUCGUUGUGCUUUGUUCAUGCUAAUUUGCAAAGGUUUGCAUGUUAGCAUUUGCAUAGUGAGCUCAUUUAAUUGGGAGAGCUGUUGCGUGGCUCACAGUCCUCUAUGUCCCUAUUUGCUCUGAACAUCGAUCCUACCAAGUGAAAAAUUGCCUUGAGACAUGGAAAAAAGUGUGGCGUGAUUCUUCACUUCAAGACGUGUUAAACCUUGAAUCCUGUUACAUUCUGAUGUAAUAUUUGGAAUUCUUCCAAUAAUAAACUCAAUAUGAGUGUGAAUAACAUCCUCGGUAAAUUUGAACUAAUCACCACUUAAAGACAAGCCGGAGCAGAGAUUAUCCCUCCCAUCAACUACGCCGUCUUCCCCUCGCUUCUCAAGGACGGAGGCAGGUGUUAAGACUCAUUAAGCACAAUGCAGCAAACGAAGGCUCACCAGAAUACAGAGAUAAUGAGUUAAUAAGAUUGCUUUGAAGCAGAUAAACAAGCAGC